ACUCAAAUGAAUUGACGGGGACCCGCACAAGCGGUGGAGCGUGUUGUUUAAUUCGAUGAUAAGCGAAGAACCUUACCAAGGUUUGACAUCCUGCCAAGUUUUCCGAAAGGAAAACGUGCCUUUUUUGGCCGCAGUGACAGGUGUUGCAUGGCCGUCGUCAGCUCGUGUCGUGAGAUGUUUGGUUAAGUCCAUCAACGAGCGCAACCCUUAUAGUUAGUUGAAUUUUUCUAGCUAGACUGCCCCGGUAACGGGGAGGAAGGAGGGGAUGAUGUCAGGUCAGUAUUACCCUUACACCUUGGGCUACAAACACGCUACAAUGGCCGGUACAAAGGGCAGCCAAGCAGCAAUGCGGAGCAAAUCCCAUCAAAGCCGGUCUCAGUUCGGAUUGUAGGCUGAAAUUCGCCUGCAUGAAGCUGGAAUCGCUAGUAACGGUAGGUCAGCACACUACCGUGAAUACGUUCCCGGGUCUUGUACACACCGCCCGU
rnacentral:rRNA from 1 species